GUUGAACGCUGGCGGCAUGGCUAAAACAUGCAAGUCGAGCGCGAAACCGGUUUCGGCCGGGAGUAGAGCGGCGCAAGGGCGAGGAAUACGUUCCUAACGUACCCCCAGGUCGGGGAUAGCCCGGGGAAACCCGGAGUAAUACCCGAUGUGGUCACGAUUCUGUCGUGAUCAAAGGCUUCGGUCGCCAGGGGAGCGGGGAACGUCCUAUCAGGUUGUUGGUGAGGUAACGGCUCACCAAGCCUCAGACGGGUAGCGGGUGUGAGAGCAUGACCCGCCGCAUCGGGACUGAGACACUGCCCGG
rnacentral:rRNA from 1 species